GACGAACGCUGGCGGCGUGCUUAACACAUGCAAGUCGAACGGAAAGGCCCUGCUUUUGUGGGGUGCUCGAGUGGCGAACGGGUGAGUAACACGUGAGUAACCUGCCCUUGACUUUGGGAUAACUUCAGGAAACUGGGGCUAAUACCGGAUAGGAGCUCCUGCUGCAUGGUGGGGGUUGGAAAGUUUCGGCGGUUGGGGAUGGACUCGCGGCUUAUCAGCUUGUUGGUUGGGUAGUGGUUUACCAAGUCGUUGACGGGUAGACGGCCUGGGAGGGUGACCGGCCCCCUCAGGAAUUAGAUACGGACCAGACUCCUCCGGGAGGCAGCGGUCGGGAAGCUUGCAUAAUGGGCCGAAGUCUGAUGCAGCACUGUAGCGUGUGGGAGGAAGGCCUUCGGGUUGUAAGCCGCUUUCGCCGGUGAUGAAGAGUGAGUGAGGGUAAUGGGUAAAGAAGCACCGGCUAACUACGUG
rnacentral:rRNA from 1 species